rnacentral:sRNA from 1 species
AAAACCGAAAACCACGUGGCCACGUGCUU